rnacentral:rRNA from 1 species
GCCUUAGGAUAACAGAUCUAAGGUUAGACCUGCCCAAUGUGAAUAAAUCAAUGGCCGCGGUACUUUGACCGUGCUAAGGUAGCGCAAUCAAUUGGCUUUUAAUUGGAGCCAGGUAUGAAUGGAGUCACGGGGUUUAGCUGUCUCUUAUCUUUUUUAUUGAAGUUACUAUGCAGGUGAAAAAGCCUGUAUUAAAAAGGGGGACGAGAAGACCCUUAGAGUUUUUCUUAUGUUGAAUUUUUUUUCAUAAUAGUUUGGUUGGGGCAACUUAGGAUCAUAGAAAUGAACAUCCUAAAAAUUAUUAACCGAUUUUAAUAAAAGUGAAUAAACUACCUUAGGGAUAACAGCAUAAUUUUAUAGAUAAGUUUGUGACCUCGAUGUUGGACUAGGAAACUAAUAGGCUAGCCGCUUUUUAGGUAAGUUCUGUUCGAACUAUUAUUCCU